ACAUGUAGAAAAAAAUAACAUGGCUAUAUACAGGGAGUAGAGAAUAACAUGGUUAUAUACAGGGAGUAGAAAAUAACAUGGUUAUAUACAGGAAGUAGAAAAUAGCAUGGCUAUAUACAGAGAGUAGAAAAUAACAUGGCUACAGUGGUUCUUCCUUUAAAAGUUGCAUUGUACUGCCACACAGCUUGAGGGCUGCUGCGGAUUGCACGUUAUUUAAGUGUCAGCCAUUGUUGCCAUUAAGGCUAGUUAGUAUUAAUGCUAGUUAAUACUAGUUUGACCACCAGAGGGAAUGUUUGAGAAGCAUUUGACUGUAUUAAUAUUGGCUGGACUAGAGAUUUUUUUUUGUAAGAACAUAGUAUAUGUGAUUGAUUUAGCUUAAACCAUUUGAUUAAUAUUAUGGUGUUUCUAUUCCAAGAAAAAUUUAAAACGAAACCCUCAGGGUUUCCAUUAGGAAAAUAUGGCACUGUACAACGCUGUACUAAGUGACUGCGAGUGAAGAGGAAAAUAAUCCUAACAUUUCUACACCCUAAUUGUAGGCUAACCAAUACCCAAAUGGAGAUUCAGUGAAAAUUAAAAUCUCAUUGAUUUCCCAAUACGAGUCCCCAUGCUCAGAGCAGCACAAAACGGUGCUGAAAUAGUUGACCACACGCGGGUAUAGCCAUGUUCAAAUCCUAUCAUAACAAUUGGAUGACUUUGUUCCAGUAAGAAACCAUUUGUUGCCUUCAUUAGACUACUUUAUUCUGAAAAAUUCAUCUGUAAAUCUGCCAAGCCUAUAAACAAAGAUGAACUGGUGAAGGCCAUCAAGACAUUUUGGCUUGAGAAACUUGACGAUACAACAAUGCAACAAAUACAUUGAUCAUUUCAGCAAGGUUUUGCCAGUGGUCAUGGAUCUGGGGGGAAGUGCAACUAAAAUGUAGCUGAGAUGUACUGUACAGUAGUGGAAAUAAACAUCUGUAUUUUAAAAGUAUUUUUUAUUGUUAUUUUAUUAACGAAAGCAUAAAGAUGUUGAUGAACAUAUACUGUGUUAAACUUUAGAGUACUUAAGCAUCGAAUACAUUGCAAGUUGGGUGGAUUUUCACACCUACAGUGGCCGGGCUAUUAAACUAAUCGUGGAUAAUAGAUCGGCUCUCGGAACUCAUUAAGAGGCUGCUUCUUUCUUCAAUAUGCUUUAAAUGUCACAAAUAAUUGAACCCAACAUGAGCAGAUGAACUUGGUCAAAACAUGUAUUUAUUAAAGACCGUCAGAAAGAAUGUUGUCUUAUUUGUUUUGAUUCCAAAACCUUUUACGAGUGAAUAAUAAUACAAUAGUAAUUGGUAUGACACGGCUCUUGGAACUCAUUAAGAGGCGGCUUCUAUAUGAAAAUACUUGCAGAUCAAUUCAUUCUAAAUUAAUAUACAAGGGGUUGUCACGCCCUGACCGUAGAGAGCUUUUUAUGUGUCUAUUUUUAAGUUGGUCAGGGUGUGAUUUGGGUGGCAUUCUAUGCUCUUUUUCUAUGUGUUUGUAUUUCUUUGUUUUGGCCUGGUAUGGUUCUCAAUCAGGGACAGCUGUCGAUCGUUGUCUCUGAUUGAGAACCAUACUUAGGUAGCUUUUCCCCACAGGGUUUUUGUGGGUAGUUGUUUUCCGUAUCAGUGUUUGCAUCUUAUGGGACUUUUUUAUUUUAUUUAUUCUCUUGUUAUUUUUGUAUUUAGUGUUCAGUUCAAUAAAUAAUAUGAACACUUACCACGCU
ensembl:lncRNA